rnacentral:rRNA from 1 species
UACAGAGGAUGCAAGCGUUGUCCGGAUUUAUUGGGCGUAAAGAGCGUGUAGGCGGCCAAGCAGGUCAGCUGUGAAAACUCGAGGCUCAACCUCGAGACGUCGGUUGAAACCGCUUGGCUAGAGUCCGGAAGAGGAGAGUGGAAUUCCCGGUGUAGCGGUGAAAUGCGCAGAUAUCGGGAAGAACACCCGUGGCGAAGGCGGCUCUCUGGGACGGUACUGACGCUGAGACGCGAAAGCGUGGGGAGCGAACAGG